UCCCGUGUGGUAUAGUGGUUAGGAUCCGGCGCUCUCACCGCCGUGGCCGGGGUUCGAUUCCCCGCACGGUAGAA